rnacentral:rRNA from 1 species
UACGAAGGGUGCAAGCGUUACUCGGAAUUACUGGGCGUAAAGCGUGCGUAGGUGGUUUGUUAAGUCUGAUGUGAAAGCCCUGGGCUCAACCUGGGAACUGCAUUGGAAACUGGCUUACUAGAGUGCGGUAGAGGGGUGUGGAAUUCCCGGUGUAGCAGUGAAAUGCGUAGAUAUGCGGAGGAACACCGAUGGCGAAGGCAAUCCCCUGGGCCUGCACUGACGCUCAUGCACGAAAGCGUGGGGAGCAAACAGG